ensembl:lncRNA UCA1 urothelial cancer associated 1
GGACAAUGAGUCCCAUCAUCUCUCCACCAUGCACCUUGUGACUCCCUCCUCUGCUGACAACAGAUAACCACCUUUAACUGUGGUCUUCUAUACGGACAUGCUUGACACUUGGUGCCAAAAUCUGGGCCAGGGGGACUCCUUCGUGAGACCGGCCCCCUGUCCUGGCCCUCAUUCCGUGAAGAGAUCCACCUGCGACCUCGGGUCCUCAGACCAGCCCAAGGAACAUCUCACCAAUUUCAAAUCGGAUCUCCUCGGCUUAGUGGCUGAAGACUGAUGCUGCCCGAUCGCCUCAGAAGCCCCUUGGACCAUCACAGAUGCCGAGCUUCGGGUAACUCUUACGGUGGAGGAUUCCCAGCCAUAUGAAGACACCCUAGCUGGACGAUCAGUCCUUGUCAAAAGUCUGACCCCUCAAACUCUACAGCCUCAAUGGACCAGACCCUACCCGGUCAUUUAUAGCACACCAACUGCCGUCCAUCUGCAGGACCCUCUCCAUUGGGUUCACCAUUCCAGAAUAAAGCCAUGCCCAUCAGACAGCCAGCUUGAUCUCUCCUCUUCCUCCUGGAAGCCACAAGAUUAGGCCGAGAGCCGAUCAGACAAACAACCUACAACCCUUAAGCUCCUGGCAGCGCCCAGCCAAGGCCAUGCUUCCUUGCAACACUCCUUCCAAAUGGCCAUCCCAGCAUGCUUCCAAGCAGGCUUCAUCCGUUCCUCUGGACCCUCAUCUCUUAAGACCUGCCGCCUAUAAAAAGGAUUAUAUCUUGAGACCCUAUCCUCUAAAAUUUUUUCCACACCCAAAACAAAAAAUCUCUGGGUCAAAAGUCUAAAACGCUUAGGCUGGCAACCAUCAGAUCCUUGCCCAUGGUGUCCUCAAGCCUACUCUCAUGAAAUGGACAACAGUACACGCAUAUGGGGCCAGUUCCACAUAUUUGGCAACCAGACCAGCAUCCAGGACAACACAAAGUAUGUUGUUUGUUGUUAGAGGGCUUGGGACAUUUCACUCUUUGCCAGCCUCAGCUUAAUCCAGGAGACAAAGAUUAUUUUCCUUAUUAUCUCUUCUGCAUAGGAUCUGCAAUCAGAACUAUUGAACUUCUCCAUUCAGACCGCCACUCACACCUAUGGGAAAAGGGUAAUGUAUCAUCGGCUUAGCAACAGGGAAUACUAUUCGUAUGAUGGAAAAUGGGGACAAAAGGCUUUGGUACAUAAAACAUUAUUCCUUCCUUGGCCUAAAAACUCAUCGCCACCUACAUUAAAGCUAAUAUGCCU